UAAAAACUCCCCAGUAUCUCAAAACUCCCACUUGGGACGUCAGCCUUUCUCAUUGGACAAGCCCAUUUUGAGAGGCGGGAAUCUUCCGAGACAUUAAAAGCCCCACACUAGGGACCCGCCCAGAGUCAGUGGUUCUGUUAGGUUUUGAGAAGAUGUGAGCUACAACGCUCCAGGACAUCCUUAAGUACGUGCCAGGCUUCGGCCUUGACUUUUCCAUUCAUCAAGAUUCUCUGACGCAAACUGGUUCUUUUCCAUCAA